CACGUAGGGCGCAAGCGUGUCCGGAAUUAUUGGGCGUAAAGAGCUCGUAGGCGGUCUGUUACGUCUGCUGUGAAAACCCGGGGCUUAACCCUGGGCUUGCAGUGGAUACGGGCAGACUAGAGGCAGGUAGGGGAGAAUGGAAUUCCCGGUGUAGCGGUGAAAUGCGCAGAUAUCGGGAGGAACACCGGUGGCGAAGGCGGUUCUC
rnacentral:rRNA from 1 species